UGCCAGCCGCCGCGGUAAUACGGAGGGGGCAAGCGUUGUUCGGAAUUACUGGGCGUAAAGGGCGUGUAGGCGGCGGUUUUAGUCAGGCGUGAAAGCCCGAGGCUCAACCUCGGAAUAGCGCUUGAUACUGAACUGCUUGAGACCGGAAGAGGGUAGUGGAAUUCCCAGUGUAGAGGUGAAAUUCGUAGAUAUUCGGUGGAACACCAGUGGCGAAGGCGACUAACUGGACUGAUACUGACGCUGAGGUGCGAAAGCUAGGGUAGCAAACGGGAUUAGAUA
rnacentral:rRNA from 1 species